rnacentral:tRNA from 1 species
GGGCGGGUCACCUAGAGGCAGGGUGGUGGACUGCAGAUCCACAUACGCGGGUUCAAAUCCCGCCCCGCCCU